AUCUCUGUCGGUGAGAAAAUGUGUGUGGAUGCUGACUUCUAGAAGACUCCAAAGCGCUUGUCUUCCCCACUCCCCAUUUCCAAAGGCUGAGACUCCUCUGCACUCCGAGUUUCCUCCCACGCUUCGUCUGAAGAGUGGGUUUUGGGGAGUGAAGGAUAGAAAAUAUCUGAAGACUCUUCCCUAUGACUUAAGACAUGAAUUUUCUUCUCAAGUCUUGAACUAAAGUCAGAAAGUGUUUGCAAGAAAUGUUCUUCUAGGUCCCACAUCCACGGGACCAGAUGAUGCCUGGCUCAAUGCAUUCCUAUCUGAAGUGGGGCAGAGAGGCUGGCAGCCUUCUUUACUAACCAGGCCUGGGAUGAGGUCAGGGGACACUGCUCCGUCACAAGCUCCUCCCUCCCUCUGCUCUACAGACCAGCGACCCAUCCUGGUGAGGUCACCGAGUUGUCCUGUGUGGAGUCCGGCUCUUGUUUCCAAUGGGGAAAACAGCUUUCCUCAGAAAGUUCUACUCCCUCUGGGGAAAACGACUGAGAGGCUCUUGGCAGGGCUAUUCCCAGUUUCCUCACUAAUUACUCUGGGAUAUUCCCUCCUGAAUGAAGAAACUUCUAUAAUUUGGGUUAUAAAAGAUCUCUUUGAAUUUUC
rnacentral:lncRNA from 1 species